rnacentral:rRNA from 1 species
AGUGGAGCAAUCCAUGAGUAAAGUGGCGACCGGGUGAGUAACACGUGACUAACCUACCUCCGAAUGGGGAAUAACUCCGGGAAACCGGGGCUAAUACCGCAUAACACCGCAAGGUCAAAGCAGCAAUGCGUUUGGAGAGGGGGUCGCGGCUGAUUAGCUAGUUGGCGGGGUAACGGCCCACCAAGGCGAAGAUCGGUAUCCGGCCUGAGAGGGCGCACGGACACACUGGAACUGAAACACGGUCCAGACUCCUACGGGAGGCAGCAGUGGGGAAUUUUGCGCAAUGGGGGAAACCCUGACGCAGCAACGCCGCGUGGAGGAUGAAGCCCUUUGGGGCGUAAACUCCUUUCGACCAAGACGAUAAUGACGGUACUGGUGGAAGAAGCACCGGCUAACUCUGUGCCAGCAGCCGCGGUAAUACAGAGGGUGCAAGCGUUGUUCGGAAUUAUUGGGCGUAAAGGGCGCGUAGGCGGUGCCACAAGUCACCUGUGAAAUCUCCG